UUAUAAAUAAUAUACAUUCCAAAGAACGGGUAUUAUUGUAGUGGAUUUGUGACGGUGAAAGCCUUACUCAGACAAUAUCUUCUCUACAACUCUGUUCGAGAGCAAUGCCAUAGGCUGCCACGGUAUUUGGUGUCGAUGUGCUCUUUACGCAUCGGCUCCUCAUAUGGGGCCUCACAGCA
rnacentral:snoRNA from 1 species